CGAUUUAUUGUGGUAUACACCCCACGCUGGGUCAACAGGAGAAACUCUCCUGUUGACUUACCUUAUGCUUCUCGUUGCGGUGGAGUAUCAGAGUCAUGGGAGAGUGAUCGGCAGUCAAUUUAGUGGGUCUUCACUAAAUCAACCCCCAGUGGACUGAUCACUGCAGUGUCGAUCCCCCGCCCUGUUUCUCCCUUCAGAAAAGAGUUACAAGAAUGAUUCCAGGUCUGGGAAAUCUGCCUUAUGGGGAGAGAGUAGAGAAGCUCAAUCUAUUCAGUUUAUCCAGAGUCAACGCUUCUGAUGGGAGAGUCAAAGCUUUAUUUGGCUUGGGCCUUUGAAAGCCGAUGCAGCUUUCUCUUACUCAAUGAUUUAGCAUGAAAGAAAUGGGAGCUAUUAUCUGACAAGCCUCCAAAAGAUUAUAAUUAAGGUGACAGGCCUGCAAGAGUAUUUCACAUCUCUUUCUAUAGCUAGCACUAUAAAUUGAGGAUGCUACAUCACUUUCCUAUACAACUGAAGCUGCACAGAAACACUAACCCUCGAUACUCAGUGACUUGAAAGCCCACCCUGCCACCCUCCCUUCCUUCAUCAUAAAUGGAUGGAUGAUGACAAGGGAAGAAGUUUAGCACCUCUUGGGGACAACCUUCAUCUUAAAUAAAAGGUUAAACUGUUUA